AAAUGAAUAGACGGGGACCCGCACAAGCGGUGGAUUAUGUGGAUUAAUUCGAUGCAACGCGAAAAACCUUACCUACCCUUGACAUGCCAGGAACUUUCCAGAGAUGGAUUGGUGCCCGAAAGGGAACCUGGACACAGGUGCUGCAUGGCUGUCGUCAGCUCGUGUCGUGAGAUGUUGGGUUAAGUCCCGCAACGAGCGCAACCCUUGCCAUUAAUUGCCAUCAUUUAGUUGGGCACUUUAAUGGGACUGCCGGUGAUAAACCGGAGGAAGGUGGGGAUGACGUCAAGUCCUCAUGGCCCUUAUGGGUAGGGCUUCACACGUAAUACAAUGGUCGAUACAGAGGGUUGCCAAGCCGCGAGGUGGAGCCAAUCCCAGAAAGUCGAUCGUAGUCCGGAUUGUUCUCUGCAACUCGAGAGCAUGAAGUCGGAAUCGCUAGUAAUCGCGGAUCAGAAUGUCGCGGUGAAUACGUUCCCGGGUCUUGUACACACCGCCCGU
rnacentral:rRNA from 1 species